GAUGAACGCUGGCGGCGUGCCUAAUACAUGCAAGUCGAGCGAACGGACGAGAAGCUUGCUUCUCUGAUGUUAGCGGCGGACGGGUGAGUAACACGUGGAUAACCUACCUAUAAGACUGGGAUAACUUCGGGAAACCGUAGCUAAUACCGGAUAAUAUUUUGAACCGCAUGGUUCAAAAGUGAAAGACGGUCUUGCUGUCACUUAUAGAUGGAUCCGCGCUGCAUUAGCUAGUUGGUAAGGUAACGGCUUACCAAGGCAACGAUGCAUAGCCGACCUGAGAGGGUGAUCGGCCACACUGGAACUGAGACACGGUCCAGACUUCUACGGGAGGCAGCAGUAGGAAAUCUUCCAAUGGGCGAAAGCCUGACGGAGCAACGCCGCGUGAGUGAUGAAGGUCUUCGGAUCGUAAAACUCUGUUAUUAGGGAAGAACAUAUGUGUAAGUAACUGUGCACAUCUUGACGGUACCUAAUCAGAAAGCCACGGCUAACUACGUG
rnacentral:rRNA from 1 species